rnacentral:lncRNA from 1 species
AUGUACAAGAAAUUUCCUUCCCACGUGGUCCUCACGCACUGCCUUGAUGGAGGGGGUCGGGGGAGGGUGCCAGGAGUCAGGUCGUGUGCUCCAGUUGGCCCGAACCAGGGAAGGAGCAAAUGGACACGAAACUCAAAACCAGCAAGCGGCCUUGGACGUGGGAGAGUAAACAUAUCUAAAAGGAGGUGGCCCUUGGUUGUAAACAUUGGUAACAGCCACACCACUGGGCCGCGGGACCCGAGAAGGGCUCGUGGGUGGGUUUUCAGGGUGCGGAUGGUGGGGGGUGUUGAGUGCGAACGGGGGGCGGGGGCCUUGGGGGCGGCAGGGGCGAUGGGGGAGGUAGUAGGUUACUCUGGGACUCUCCGAGGCCGGUGUUGGUGGGCAAUGUCCAGACGCAGGCCUGCGCGCAGAGGCUCGGAGGCCGGGGUCCCGUGGGGGGCGGGGGGGCGGGUGCUCCAAGCCCCGUGGGGACAGCUCAGGGGAGGGAGCGGACUCCAGGUCUUGGUCUCUGGGGGGCGGGCCUCCUCCUCUCGUGAACCCAAGGCUGAUGGUGGCUCCCUGAAAUGCUCCCAGGUGAGAAGGCAGAGACAGGAUGCGCUCUGGAGCAUCCCGGCUGGACCAGGACGGGUAGGCGCACCUGAGAAUCUGUCCCCAAAGCUGAGUCACCAGCAUGUCCCAGCCAAGCAGCAAGAGUGGCUUUUUGCCUGGGCCCCGUUUGGGAAGGCUGCUCUGUACAUGGUCUUCCCCGUUAUCGGGGGUAUUCAGAUAUUUACAUAUAUAACUAUAUAUAUCGGGGUGUCAGAGGGAAGGAGGCCACCACGUCCCACGGGAUUUUCCAAAACGGAGUUACUGACACUUAAGAUCCUGCCUCCUUGGUUCACCAAAGGGGGGGGUCACUCCCUCCAUCAGAUGGGAGCAGGGCAACGAACAGACUCCACAGCCAGGCAAACCUGUAGGAGCUCCGGGCACACGCGCUGUCUGGGUGUGCGCAGCCGCGUUCAUUCACAGAAGGUGCGCGGUGGGUAA